AGACGGAUAGCUUCAGACAUGGGCGCGUGUUGGUGCUGAAACAAUGCAUUUUAACAACCGUCGAUUGAUUUAGCAUGAGCCGAAUUUACAAGAAGGGCCGAAUGGUUAGGAACUAGUCAAAUUCAGCAUUUAAGGUAAUUUCAUUUUCCUCACGGACCUCUCUACCGCAUCAAAAAUUUUACUGCCUGUCGUCGUCCUACACAUGGCAGCUACAUCCAAGAGCUCCUUGCUGACAGUGAAGUGACUUCAGUCCAGCAGACUGUGGUAGCAUGUGAUUAUGGAAGGCCUUCCAGACCCAGAUCAGGAACCGGUACCCAGCCCAAGCUCUCUAAGAAGACGAGGAACAACUCCCCAUGAACCUCCAGGACAUGGGAAGAAACCUCUGGAAAGGCAAUUCAGAGAGAGAUCCCCUCUCCACGGACGGCUGGGUGUCUAUGUGCAUUUGUUCUGGGAUGUUUGUUUUACACACCUGAGCAAUGUAUUUUUUUUUUUAAUUUAAGAAUUUCUUCUUAAAUUAAAAUUGGCAAACCGGA